GCGAACCUUUUGAGCUCGGCAUGUCAGCAUUUUGAAAAACCCUAACUUAACUCUGGUGCCGUGUCACAUAUAGACAUUUUUUGAUAUUUGUAACCAUAGUAAAACAAAGACUUAUAUUUUUGAUAUUUAUUUUAUAUAUUUAAAUGCCAUUUAACAAAGAAAAAUCAACCAAAAAAAUGAGUUCGUGUGUCACCUCUGACACGUGUGUCAUAGGUUCGCCAUCACUGAACUAAAUGCAUGUCAAACUUGUCGAGUUUGACAUGCUUGUUGGAAGUUAGAUCUGGAGAGGAUUAAUUAAUUAGAUUCUGGGGUUUUGUUUUUUAGCAAGAAUAUUUCACAUUAGUGUGAUGUACUCUGUCAAAUGAAAUCAAGAGACACCUAAUUCUGAUAUUCCCCCUUUUAAUGAUGCUCAGGUUGGUCACUGUCCACAUCACAGAAGAAGCCUUUACACCUUCAUUGGAAAGUCCCCUGUAACAUUUUUACAUAAUUUUUUUAAAACAUGCAUUUAGCCCUAACCAGUUUGACUCAGUGGAUAGAGCAUCAGCCUGCGGACUCAAGGGUCCCGGCUUCAAUUCCAUUCAAGGGCAUGUACCUUGGUUGUGGGCACAUCCCCGGUAGGGGGUGUGUAGGAGGCAGCUGAUCGAUGUUUCUUUCUCAUCGAUGUUUCUAACUCUCUAUCCCUCUCCCUUCCUCUCUGUAAAAAAUCAAUAAAAUAUAUUUAAAGCAUGCAUUUAA